ACUCAAAUGAAUUGACGGGGGCCCGCACAAGCAGUGGAUUAUGUGGUUUAAUUCGAAGCAACGCGAAGAACCUUACCAGGUCUUGACAUCUCCUGCAUAGCAUGGAAACAUGUGAAGUCUUCGGACAGGAAGACAGGUGGUGCAUGGUUGUCGUCAGCUCGUGUCGUGAGAUGUUGGGUUAAGUCCCGCAACGAGCGCAACCCUUACUAUUAGUUGCUACGCAAGAGCACUCUAAUGGGACUGCCGUUGACAAAACGGAGGAAGGUGGGGACGACGUCAAAUCAUCAUGCCCCUUAUGACCUGGGCUACACACGUAAUACAAUGGUACUUUAACAGAGGGUCGCGAAGCCGCGAGGCCCAGCCAAACCCUAAAAAGUAUCUCAGUUCGGAUUGCAGGCUGCAACCCGCCUGUAUGAAGUCGGAAUUGCUAGUAAUCGCGGAUCAGCAUGCCGCGGUGAAUACGUUCCCGGGCCUUGUACACACCGCCCGU
rnacentral:rRNA from 1 species